AUUGAACGCUGGCGGCAGGCUUAACACAUGCAAGUCGAACGAGUGGCGGACGGGUGAGUAAUGCUUGGGAAUCUAGCUUAUGGAGGGGGAUAACUACGGGAAACUGUAGCUAAUACCGCGUACCAUAGGAUGAGCCCACUUGGGAUUAGGUAGUUGGUGAGGUAAAGGCUCACCAAGCCGACGAUCUCUAGCGGGUCUGAGAGGAGGACCAGCCACACUGGGACGGAGACACUGCCCUGACUCCUACGGGAGGCAGCAGUGGGGAAUAGUGCGCAAUUGGGGAAACCUGACGCAGCCAUGCCGCGUGAAUGAAGAAGGCCUUCGGGUUGUAAAGUUCUUUCGGUAGCGAGGCGUUAACUACAGAAGAAGCACCGGCUAACUCCGUGCCAGCAGCCGCGGUAAUAC
rnacentral:rRNA from 1 species